rnacentral:rRNA from 1 species
CCUACGGGAUGCAGCAGUGGGGAAUAUUGCACAAUGGGCGCAAGCCUGAUGCAGCCAUGCCGCGUGUAUGAAGAAGGCCUUCGGGUUGUAAAGUACUUUCAGCGAGGAGGAAGGCAUUAAGGUUAAUAACCUUGAUGAUUGACGCUACUCGCAGAAGAAGCACCGGCUAACUCCGUGCCAGCAGCCGCGGUAAUACGGAGGGUGCAAGCGUUAAUCGGAAUUACUGGGCGUAAAGCGCACGCAGGCGGUCUGUCAAGUCGGAUGUGAAAUCCCCGGGCUCAACCUGGGAACUGCAUCCGAAACUGGCAGGCUAGAGUCUUGUAGAGGGGGGUAGAAUUCCAGGUGUAGCGGUGAAAUGCGUAGAGAUCUGGAGGGAUACCGGUGGCGAAGGCGGCCCCCUGGACAAAGACUAACGCUCAGGUGCGAAAGCGUGGGGAGCAAACAGGAUUAGAUACCCGCGUAGUC